CCUACGGGGGGCAGCAGUGGGGGAUAUUGCACAAUGGGGGAAACUCUGAUGCAGCGACGCCGCGUGUGGGAAGACGGCCCUCUGGAUUGUAAACCACUGUCCCCAGGGACGAAGAUGACGGUACCUGGGGAGGUAGCUCCGGCAAACUACGUGCCAGCAGCCGCGGUAAUACGUAGGGAGCGAGCGUUGUCCGGAAUUACUGGGUGUAAGGGGAGCGUAGGCGGGACUGCAAGUUGGGUGUCAAAUCUACCGGCUCAACCGGUAGCCGCACUCAAAACUGCAGUUCUUGAGUGAAGUAGAGGCGGGCGGAAUUCGUAGUGUAGCGGUGAAAUGCGUAGAUAUUAGGAAGAACACCAGUGGCGAAGGCGGCCUGCUGGGCUUUUACUGACGCUGAGGCUCGAAAGUGUGGGGAGCAAACAGGAUUAGAUACCCGAGUAGUC
rnacentral:rRNA from 1 species